rnacentral:rRNA from 1 species
AACGAACGCUGGCGGCAGGCCUAACACAUGCAAGUCGAGCGCGCCCUUCGGGGUGAGCGGCGGACGGGUUAGUAACGCGUGGGAACGUGCCCAGAUCUAAGGAAUAGCCACUGGAAACGGUGAGUAAUACCUUAUACGCCCUUCGGGGGAAAGAUUUAUCGGAUUUGGAUCGGCCCGCGUUAGAUUAGGUAGUUGGUGGGGUAAUGGCCUACCAAGCCUACGAUCUAUAGCUGGUUUUAGAGGAUGAUCAGCAACACUGGGACUGAGACACGGCCCAGACUCCUACGGGAGGCAGCAGUGGGGAAUCUUGGACAAUGGGGCAACCCUGAUCCAGCCAUGCCGCGUGAGUGAGAAGGCCUUGGGUAAACUCUUUCUGU